GAUCGUGUUAAGUGAAUUCUUGGCAAAAGUUUCAUGCUUUUCAUAGUAACAAUUGCCUUGUCAAUGCUUAUAGUUUUCAUGAAACUUAAUGAUCUUUGAUUGUACCUUUAUUGUGCUUUUCACGUAGGGGACUUUAGAGAAUGCUUUGAGUUGUUGUAUGUGCUUUCCCAUCCAAUUCAUUAACUUAAGGAGAACUUGAAGGUUAAAAAAGUGAUGUCACAGUUAACCUGGAGUAUUGAGUUUCAUGACUUAUUGAGAGAAGCAAUUGGAAAUCAAUUUGAAUGCAAGUGUGUCAUGUGUGGAGAAGAACCCCCUAGUUAACCCAUCACCCAUCAAUUCACCUAAAUUUGUCUAAGAAUCUAUUUAAAUUGUUUUUGUUUUGCUUUACUUAUUUUCGUCCAAAACCAACCCCCACUUUACUUUAUUGAGUCAUAUUAGUUAGAACUUGUUUUAGAUUGUGUUUUUAAGUGUUUUGAGUCAAGAUAUAAUCAAUUUUCAUCCAAAACUUGUGUUAGUAGCAGAAACUGCCUUAGUGUUGUUUUUAGGCAGUUUUGAGUCUUUUAAGUUUGUUUUGAGUCUUGUGAGUCUUGUUAAGUGUUUUUAAGUUUAUUAUUGUGUUUCUAAGUCAGUUUAGAGUAGAUUAGCAAUCCUUCUUAAUCCCCAGUCCAGAACGAUCCCUACUUAUCCAUACUACAAUUGUCAACAAGAGGGUUUAAUUUGUGUGUUAAGUUAUUUGACGCAUCAUCCAUUCACUCCCAUACACAAUUCCAGCCAUUCUCAUUUCCUUGCCGCAGCCCCAUUCAACCUUAACACAUCUCUGACCCCUUCAUUCAGCCAUAAACAUCCGUAGUCACUUGUGCUACAACAAGGUGGGAAGAAGAAGGGCUUUUGACGUUUAAAGCUUGAAGAUUGGAGCGUUUUAGGUGUACUUCGUUCUUGUUUUCAAUGUUUAUUUUAUUAUUCUCUGAUUUUGCUGUAACUAUGAGCGGCUGAACCCCUACUUAGCUAAAGGGAAGUUCCAAGCCAUGAACAUCCUUGAGAUAUGAAUUGAUUUCUUCGAAUUGUGAUUUGAUAAGUUAUGAAUGCAAUUCAAUUAACUGUUUUCUUCAAACCCAAUUCUUGUAUGUUGAUUAAGGAUGCAUACUUACUUUUCAUGCAUGAAUUUGAUGCUAGAAUAUAAAUGAAUUUCACUUAAUCGUUACAAAUUUAUAUUCAUGAGUAAUGAAGGUUGCUAGUCAUAAUCGCGUUAAUUGAAUUCUUGGCAAACGUAUCAUGCAUUCAUAGUUACAAAUGUCUCGUCAACACUUAUGAUUUUCAUGGAACGUAAUGAUCUCUGAUUGUAUCUCUAUUAUGCAUUCAUGUAAGGGACUUUUGGAGAAUGAUUUGGGUUGUCGCAUGCAUUCAUCCAAUUCAAUGAGUAAAGGAAAAUCUAAGGGUUAAUUAGUGCAUCACGGUUAAUCUGGGGUGUUGAGCUUCAUAAUUUAUUGAAAAGCAAUUGGAAAUUGAUUCAUGUACAAGUGUAUCAUGUGUGAAGAGUGGACCUCUAGCUAAUCCAUCAACCAUCUUAUUUCCCAAAAUUCGUUUUACAAUCUGUUUAGUUUUACAAUUUGUUUGUUUGCUUAAAAUUCGUCAAAAACCCAAUCCCCUUUACUUAAAGUGUCUAAUUAGUUAGAAUCUGUCUUAGUUUGUGUUUUUAAGUGUUUUGAGUCAAGUUUCAAUCAAUUUUCGUCCAAGUCAUUCCAAGUGUCUAGUUUGAGUCUAUUUAGUUGUUUUAAGCUGUUUUGAGUCAUUCUAGCUAGUUUUGAGUCUUUUCGGUUUGUUUUGAGUUCUUUGAGUCUAGUUAAGUGUUUUUAAAGCCUAGUUUUAUGUUUUAAGGUCAGUUUUAAUAGAAUAGCAAUCCCUCCUAAUCCCCGGUCCAGAACGAUCCCUACUUACAUCUUUACUACAAUUGUCAAAAAGAGGGUUUAAUUUGAGUGUUGGAUUAUUUCACAUCACUUAAUAACCCCCUGUUUUGAAAACUCAUAUAUAUCAUACUACAUAUAGGUUUUAUGAAAAAUCUUAGCAUGCCAUGUAAAACAUCAGUAAAACAUUGAAAACCGUAUUCGUGAUGUACUCAACUAGGGGUAUCAUAGUCGUCCGAAGGCAGUACCUGUCCAUCACCCGAAGGUGAAGCUAAAUAAAAUAUCCUACAUCCACACUGACACUAGCUGUGGCAAGUGAAGCUGUCCGACAUGAUAGGAGCACAUUUAUGCAACUUAGUUAGCUUGUUUUCUUGCAUUUUCAUAGCUAGUUUCUACUUAUUAUAGUGUUUUAAGUUAUUUUCGUGUGUUUGUAGGUCCAAAUGACAAAGUUGGCUAGAAAGUGCAUUUUGGAGCAUUUUAGAGCAGUUUUGGGCUGGAAUGGAUAGCUUACAUAUGGAGCACAAGGAAUGGACGAAUUUGAAGUUCAAGAGAGACUAGGAAUGUGCUAAAGAGUUGACGAAAUUAAUUCAAAAUUUGAUGUGAAAAUUAACUUGACACACAAAUUAAACCCUAUUAAACAUGUAAUUGUAGUAUUAAGCAAGUAGGGAUCUUUCUAAACCGGGGAUUAAUUAGGGCUGCUAAUCAAUGCAAAUAAGACUCAAAAACACUAAACUAGACUCUAUAAACUCAAAACUGACUUAAAUGACUUAUAACAACAACAAACAAUCAAAGAGACUCAAUUCUAGACCUAACAAGUGAUUUGGACGAAAAUAAAACUUAACUUGACUCAAAAGACUCAAUUAAAACAUAUUAUGACUCAACUAACUCAAAACAACACAAUACUAACAAUUAGACUCAAAACAGACUCUAAGGAGUUAUUUGAACGAAUUUAAGACUAAUAAGACUCAAAACACUUAAUUGGACAGAUUGAAACACUUUUUAAACUAAUCUAACACACCUAAGUAAAGGGGGAUUGAAUUGAACAAAAUUAAUUAAAUUGAACAGAUUGCAAAACUAAAUCAAACUAGGCACGAAAUUAGGUGAAUUGAAUGGUGAAAAGCUAGCUAGAGGAUUCUUCUCCACACAUGAAACAUAUGCAACAUAAAUUGAUUUCUAGUAUUGUUUCUUUAAACCAUGAACGACAAUGCCCCAAAUUAAUCAUGAAAAGCACAAAUUAACUUUCAGAUUUUCUUAAGUUCAUUGAAUUGGAUGAAAUACGUAUCGCAACCAAAUUAUUAUUCUCAAGUUCCUUAUAUGUACAGCAUGAUAGAGAUACAUUCAAAGAUCAUUAAGUUCCAUGGAAAUCAUAAGCAUUGACAAGGCAAUUAUAACUAUGAACUGCAUGAUACUCUUGCCAAGAAUCUACUUAACACGAUUGUGACUAACAAUCUCCACUACUUUGAUGUGAAAUUUAACUAACAUUCAAAUUAAACCCUAUUAAACAUGUAAUUGUAGUAUUAAGCAAGUAGGGAUCGUUCUAAACCGGGGAUUAACUAGGGCUGCUAAUCAAUGCAAAUAAGACUCAAAAACACUAAACUAGACUCUAUAAACUCAAAACUGACUUAAAUGACUUAAAACAACAACAAAUAAUCAAAGAGAAUCAAUUCUAGACCUAACAAGUGAUUUGGACGAAAAUAAAACUUAACUUGACUCAAAAGACUCAAUUAAAACAGAUUAUGACUCAACUAACUCAAAACACACUAAAAAGACUCAAAACAGCACAAUACUAACAAUUAGACUCAAAACAGACUCUAAGGAGUUAUUUGAAUGAAUUUUAGACUAAUAAGACUCAAAACAUUCAAUUGGACAGAUUGAAACACUUUUUAAACUAAUCUAACACACCUAAGUAAAGGAGGGAUUGAAUUGAACAAAAUUAAUUAAAUUGAACAGAUUGCAAAACUAAAUCAAACUAGGCACGAAAUUAGGUGAAUUGAAUGGUGAAAAGCUAGCUAAAGGAUUCUUCUCCACACAUGAAACAUAUGCAACAUAAAUUGAUUUCCAAUAUUGUUUCUUUAAACGAUGAACGACAAUGCCCCAAAUUAAUCAUGAAAAGCACAAAUUAACUUUCAGAUUUUCCUAAGUUCAUUGAAUUAGAUGGAAUAUGCAUCGCAACUAAAUUAUUAUUCUCAAGUUCCUUAUAUGAACAGUAUGAUAGAGAUACAUUCAAAGAUCAUUAAGUUCCAUGGAAAUCAUAAGCAUUGACAAGGCAAUUAUAACUAUGAACUGCAUGCUACUCUUGCCAAGAAUCUACUUAACACGAUUGUGACUAACAAUCUCCACUACUUGUAAUUAUAAGUUCCUAACGAUUAGGUGAAAGUCCCUUAUAAUUUAGCAUUAGAUUCAUGUAUGCAAACUAAGUAUGCAUCCUUAAUCAACACACAAGAAUAAGUUAUCAAUCAAAUAGAUAAGUAAACCACA
rnacentral:lncRNA from 1 species